rnacentral:rRNA from 1 species
ACGAUGGUUAGCUGGUCUGAGAGGAUGAUCAGCCACACUGGAACUGACACACGGUCCAGACUCCUACGGGAGGCAGCAGUGAGGAAUUUUGCGCAAUGGGGGAAACCCUGACGCAGCAACGCCGCGUGAGUGAUGAAGGCUUUCGGGUCGUAAAGCUCUGUCAAGUGGGAAGAAACCACGAGGUGAUAAUAUCGCUUUGUGCUGACGGUACCACUGAAGGAAGCACCGGCUAACUCCGUGCCAGCAGCCGCGGUAAUACGGGGGGUGCAAGCGUUAUUCGGAAUCAUUGGGCGUAAAGGGCGCGUAGGCGGUUUGUUAAGUCAGAUGUGAAAGCCCGGGGCUCAACCCCGGAAGUGCAUUUGAUACUGGCGGACUUGAGUAUGGGAGAGGGAAGUGGAAUUCCUGGUGUAGAGGUGAAAUUCGUAGAUAUCAGGAGGAACACCGGUGGCGAAGGCGACUUCCUGGACCAAUACUGACGCUGAGGCGCGAAGGCGUGGGUAGCAAACAGGAUUAGAUACCCUGGUAGUCCACGCAGUAAACGGUGAUCACUAGGUGUAGCGGGUAUUGACCCCUGCUGUGCCGCAGUUAACGCAUUAAGUGAUCCGCCUGGGGAGUACGGCCGCAAGGUUAAAACUCAAAGGAAUUGACGGGGGCCCGCACAAGCGGUGGAGCAUGUGGUUUAAUUCGACGCAACGCGAAGAACCUUACCUGGGUUUGACAUCUCGGGGAUUUUUUGGAAACAAGAAAGUGCCCUUCGGGGAGCCCGAAGACAGGUGCUGCAUGGCUGUCGUCAGCUCGUGUCGUGAGAUGUUGGGUUAAGUCCCGCAACGAGCGCAACCCUUAUCUUUAGUUACCAUCACUUCGGGUGGGGACUCUAAAGAUACUGCCCCGGUCAACGGGGAGGAAGGUGGGGAUGACGUCAAGUCCUCAUGGCCUUUAUGCCCAGGGCUACACACGUGCUACAAUGGGCGAUACAAAGGGUAGCGAGCCUGCGAAGGUGAGCCAAUCCCAAAAAGUCGUUCUUAGUUCGGAUUGGAGUCUGCAACUCGACUCCAUGAAGCUGGAAUCGCUAGUAAUCGCGGAUCAGCACGCCGCGGUGAAUACGUUCCCGGGCCUUGUACACACCGCCCGUCACACCAUGAGAGUUGGUUGUACCAGAAGUUGUUGGGCUAACCCGCAAGGGAGGCAGGCACCUAAGGUAUGGCUGAUGAUUGGGGUGAAGUCGUAACAAGGUA